UACGGGGGGAGCAAGCGUUGUUCGGAUUUACUGGGCGUAAAGGGCGCGUAGGCGGCCGUGUGUGUCAGGUGUGAAAGCCCGGGGCUUAACCCCGGAAUUGCGCCUGAAACUACAUGGCUAGAGCAUUGGAGAGGGUAGCGGAAUUCACGGUGUAGCAGUGAAAUGCGCAGAUAUCAGGAAGAACACCCGUGGCGAAGGCGGCUCUCUGGGACGGUACUGACGCUGAGACGCGAAAGCGUGGGGAGCGAACAGG
rnacentral:rRNA from 1 species